rnacentral:rRNA from 1 species
UACGAGAGGUGCGAGCGUUAUUCGGAAUUAUUGGGUGUAAAGGGCGCGUAGACGGCGCGUUAAGUUUACUGUUAAAUCCUUCGGCUUAACUGAAGAAAUGCAGCAAAUACUGGCGUGCUAGAGGAUGGAAGAGAGAAGUGGAAUUCUUGGAGUAGCGGUAAAAUGCGUAGAUCUCAAGAGGAACACCGAUGGCGAAGGCAGCUUCUUGGUCCAUUUCUGACGUUGAGGCGCGAAAGCGUGGGGAGCAAACAGG